GAUUCUGGCUCAGGAUGAACGCUGGCGGCGUGCUUAACACAUGCAAGUCGAACGAGGUUAAGACUCGGUUUAAACCGAGUGGCGGACGGGUGAGUAACGCGUGGGUAACCUGCCGUAUGCAGGGGGACAACAGUUAGAAAUGACUGCUAAUACCGCAUAAGCUUACAGUAUCGCAUGAUACAGUGAGAAAAGAUUUAUCGGCAUACGAUGGACCCGCGUCUGAUUAGCUAGUUGGUGAGGUAACGGCCCACCAAGGCGACGAUCAGUAGCCGACCUGAGAGGGUGACCGGCCACAUUGGGACUGAGACACGGCCCAAACUCCUACGGGAGGCAGCAGUGGGGAAUAUUGCACAAUGGGCGCAAGCCUGAUGCAAGCGACGCCGCGUGAGUGAUGAAGUAUUUCGGUACGUAAAGCUCUAUCAGCAGGGAAGAUAAAGACGGUACCUGACUAAGAAGCCCCGGCUAACUACGUGCCAGCAGCGGC
rnacentral:rRNA from 1 species